GAUUCGACCCGACCGAUCUGAGCUCACAUAAUUACGAUCCAAAUGCCCGAAAUGACUGGCCUCCUCUCUUCUCGCACAAUUGAGCUACGUCAACAUAAACGACUCGUCUCUCCUAAAAUUUCUGCCAAUUGAAUUUCUAUCUGCAUUAACCACCAAAACACUCUCGAACCUUCUCCUUUCUGCCGACGACCACCACCACCCCGACAACCGCAACCACCACCACCACCCCGACAACCGCAAACACCACCACCCCGACAACCGCAACCACCACAUCUUGAAUUCAUUUUCACGAUGGAUUUACACGCCGAUCUCCUGUUAAUUUACACUAAUCUUCAAAAUGCAUUGAACAAUAUCGCGAAUAAUAUAAUUGAUCUACACGAUCAAUUACAAGCUUUGGUUUUACAGUAUAAUGAGGCGUAUGCUAAUUUUCUGUUUCAAUCUAAUCAAGAUACUCCUAAUCUUGAUUCAAUUGAAAUUUUGGGGGUUGCUACUUCCGAUUUAAGGUCUCGUAUUCAAAAUGUUGAGAGCGUUAUUAGGGUUAGGCAGCAACAAUGGAACAGGGCCGAAAUGAUUCGAGGGAUUCAUUAUUUGUCUUUGGUAUCGGCUCCGAUGCUCAUAGUGAACGGCGUCGCUAGUGCUACGAUUUUACUUGAUCUUCAUCUUCACUAUGGCUGGAAUGGGACGAUUCUUUUGGGGCAGAUUCCUUUGGAAGAAGUCGAUGAGGUUGACGAUAUUCUCGGCGAUGGCUUUUUCGAGAAUGUUGUGAAUCUUGCAGAUGCCUGAAUUUGGGCUCCUUAAUUUAUAUAAGUUAAAGAAAUCUUGAAGUCUUUCGAUUACAAUUUGGGAAUUUUCGAUUUUGAGGUUUAAUUUUUGGUGGGUAUUAGCUGAAUAUUGGGAGAGGAUUGGAAAGUGAAGCUGUUCUGUGAGAUCGAUUUCAGGAACUCAAUUUCAAUUGGGUAUGUAAGAUUAUUUGGAUAGGUUUCUGAAUAUUGGGUGAAUUUCGUAAAUUGGGGAAUUGAUUGACAGAGGUUGCCAAAAGUGAAGUUCUGUGCAAUCGAUUUUAGGGUGCUGCGAUGUGAGGUCUUAAGUCUCAUUGGUGGAGAGCAGACUGGAAACUCUUCAGCAAAGUCUAUAAAAGUUGAGAGAACAGUGGUUGAGUCGUUGAGAUGCCUGAGCUGAUAGAUACGGGUAUGGUGAUUUGCUUGGAGAAUAGCCAAGGAAAGCUAAAAAGAGCAAUUUGUUGCACGCAAGCCUUUGUCAUCAUCUCUCUUAAUUUAUCUAAGAACUGACGAUGAUUCACGGAUCAUUUGACACAAGCGUGAGAUCCCUAAGAGGGUAGUAUAGUUCCCUGAUUCAAAGGGAACAAUACUAGAUUCAUUCAGACAAAUCAAUGUCGGAAUCCAGAUGAUUUAUUCGUGGCAAAGUUGCAGUGAUAAAAACAUGAUAUUGUCAAGAAUUUACUAUGACGUGUUGUAGAAGUCAUAAGAGCUAGACAAUCUUAAAUCCCUUGUCUUUGUGCAGUAUUUGUAAGUUUAGAAAGGAUGAGGCUGUUUAGUGCAGCUAUAUACUUGUGCAUUUUUCGAAGAACGAAUUCUUGUAGUUAUUCCAAUUAUACUGCCUAUUUUUUUUUUUUUUGGGAGUCUGAAAUACCAAUACAGGAUUUCUUGCUUAAUUUUGCACUGUGACAAUUGAUGAUUGUAACUCAAAGAUGUUUUAUAUUUGUUGAUACGUUAUUUUAGGCAUGUUCAUCAAUAAAUGAUUUUAAAAAUCAAUAUCUUCGAUUAUCAAAACACACACAUCACUCAUCAAUACCUUCAAUUUUCAGUA